CCUGACCCAGCAACGCCGCGUGGGUGACGAAGGCCUUCGGGUCGUAAAGCCCUUUUCCACGGGAAGAUAAUGACGGUACCGUGGGAAUAAGCCCCGGCUAACUACGUAC
rnacentral:rRNA from 1 species